AUUGAACGCUGGCGGCAGGCCUAACACAUGCAAGUCGAACGGUAACAGGAAGAAGCUUGCUUCUUUGCUGACGAGUGGCGGACGGGUGAGUAAUGUCUGGGAAACUGCCUGAUGGAGGGGGAUAACUACUGGAAACGGUAGCUAAUACCGCAUAACGUCGCAAGACCAAAGAGGGGGACCUUCGAGCCUCUUGCCAUCGGAUGUGCCCAGAUGGGAUUAGCUAGUAGGUGGGGUAACGGCUCACCUAGGCGACGAUCCCUAGCUGGUCUGAGAGGAUGACCAGCCACACUGGAACUGAGACACGGUCCAGACUCCUACGGGAGGCAGCAGUGGGGAAUAUUGCACAAUGGGCGCAAGCCUGAUGCAGCCAUGCCGCGUGUAUGAAGAAGGCCUUCGGGUUGUAAAGUACUUUCAGCGGGGAGGAAGGGAGUAAAGUUAAUACCUUUACUCAUUGACGUUACCCGCAGAAGAAGCACCGGCUAACUCCGUG
rnacentral:rRNA from 1 species